UACGUAGGUGGCAAGCGUUGUUCGGAAUUACUGGGCGUAAAGAGUGUGUAGGCGGUGCUCUAAGUUCGGUGUGAAAUCUCCCGGCUCAACUGGGAGGGUGCGCCGGAAACUGGGGUGCUGGAGCGCGGGAGAGGAAAGCGGAAUUCCUGGUGUAGCGGUGAAAUGCGUAGAUAUCAGGAGAAACACCGGCGGUGUAGACGGCUUUCUGGACCGUAGCUGACGCUGAGACACGAAAGCGUGGGUAGCAAACAGG
rnacentral:rRNA from 1 species